rnacentral:rRNA from 1 species
UACGUAGGCAGCAAGCGUUGUUCGGAAUUACUGGGCGUAAAGAGUGUGUAGGCGGUGCUCCAAGUCUGGUGUGAAAUCUCCCGGCUCAACUGGGAGGGUGCGCCGAAUACUGAAUGACUAGAGUGCGGGAGAGGAUAGUGGAAUUCCUGGUGUAGCGGUGAAAUGCGUAGAUAUCAGGAGGAACACCGGUGGUGUAGACGGCUAUCUGGACCGUAACUGACGCUGAGGCACGAAAGCGUGGGUAGCAAACAGG